rnacentral:lncRNA from 1 species
GAUAACGCUUUAGCGAGCCGCGAAGAUAGGAGGCGGGGAAGAAGGGGGACGUGUACCUCUCCCUCAUUCACGGUACAUUUACCUGAACUCAUCACCUUCCCACCCCCAUCCCAUCGACUCUGUGCUGUAUCCUGAACCGGCUGACAGAACAAUGAUGUAGACUUGACUUGUUUUCGCCAACCUGGAAUGAAGCAAAGCUCUUGUGCACCCAAGAUCUGCUCUCUGUUGUAAAUCCUGUUCAGACCUGGUCUAAUUGGUUUGAAUAAAUAAAGAACCGGAAUCUUUCUCAUCCAAA